CAAAAAUUAUUAUUUUUAUGAUUAUAUUUGACUGUGUUUGGUUAAUUUCGAUGGAUGAGGACCUUGAGGUGAGCUUGUGUUUCGUAACUAGAGAAUUCAUUACUUACUCCCUCCUCUGUUUCCUCGUUCAGACUCUCCAGAUCAAGCUAAAAUACCAGUUGAGCUCUCUAGCCACACGACACUACUUAAGGCUCUAUGCCUUGUAAGAAUUAUGUGAUUCUAACCAUUCGGAAACUAAGACCUCUCAUUUCAUUUGGAACAGGGCCUCUUUUGAAAAGUGGCAGAUCGAUUUCGAAGAGUCAACCAAGGCUCUUGCUGCUGCAGUUGUAACUUCUAGAAGACAGUUUGGUAAACGCGUCGUACCUACGAUCAUGGCGUUGGCAGUUGCUAUAGCUGCCUGGUUAACUCACGAGCUUGAGUACCUAGAUGCCAAACGUGCGGAGAGGUUCUCCAAACAAAAUCAGGGUUCAGAGCUCUCACACGAGACUGCAUGAUUAUGGGGAGUUGAGUAAUUCUCUCUCUUUGAAUCCUCUUGUUUCUUUUGGACUUGUGAUCGUCCUCUGCCAUUUGUAAAGCAUAUUCAUAUUCUUUACUCUCUUUUUUUGGGUAGUAUUCUUUAUUAUUGGUUACAAGUUAAUUAUGAUUAUUAUUACUUUUCAGGCACUUGGUUUAGUAGGUGCCAAAUUAUGAUUAAUCGCAAAAUUAUGAUCUCUGGAUAUCCUUAGGCAUGAUGAGAGUCGAUCUUUUGGCUUGCAUGCCACACAAAUUUGUGU